GCCUGGGUGGCUCAGUUGUUUGAGCGUCUGACUUCAGCUCAGGUCAUGCAUGACCUCACAGUUUGUGGGUUCGAGCCCCGUGUUGGGCU
rnacentral:tRNA from 1 species